UCGCAUUUCUUUGAAGCUGGUAGAGGGCAAGGAAAUUAUUCCUUGCAAACAAUGGAGGCCUUUAAUUCACAGGCUCCAGCGCUGAAAAGCCAUUGUGAAAGUGGGAUUUGCUGCGUUCCAGGUUUUAAUGUGAACUGUACAAGCAGGUGCAGUGGCCGAGGCAGAGCUGCGCUUACUGUUGCCUCUCCUGGCAAAGGAAAUGCACCAGGAAUCCGGCCCCUGCUCUGAUCAUGGCGAUGCCGCUGAAGCUGUCCUCCUGGCCACGUGGUUUCCUCCUCAGAUAUCUCUUUCCCUUUGGGCCAUGGUGUCCUGAGGGGAGAACCAAACAAGUGGAGGCAAGUUCUACUAAAAUCUAGAGGACAAAACUGCUUGUCAAAAAAAAAAAUCUCAUCAAACCAUAAAAUGAUGUGGACAGGAGCAUUCCAGGAGCAGCUGUGGUACAGGAUGCCUGGUUCUAAAGCAAAGGGCACCCACUGCAUCGCUAGCCACCACCCAAGGGACGCAAACUUUCAUGGCAGUGCCCCUGCCCACUGUGUCAGAAAUACUGUCCCUCCUAGUCUCAGACACACGGCCCCUUCUCAUUCCUGACCUCACAAUGACAGGUCACUAGGUGGAAACUCGGAGCCUGUAUUAGUGCUGUAUGAAUGGGUAUUUCCUGACAGUGGCUUCAUCAGACAGGUGUGGUAAGGUAUGGACACUCCACACUGUCAACUAUAGAAGAAAAAGAGGAGAAAUGGCUGUAUGCAGACUUCCAGAGCUCUGAGAAUCCCUUUCAUCCGUCACAAUGAACACUCAUUGCUGGGGAUGCUGAAGCGGCAGGGGCUUGCUCUCUGAGUUCAGAGCACAGGACAGAGCAAGGACCACCCAUGAUGUGUGGAUGGAGAGAUGCCACUGCUAUGGGCAACCCCAGCUCAGCUGACUCCCUCAUCCAGGGUCAGCCAUGCCAGUGACCAUGAAAAAUGUUCAGGAUAAAAAGCCAUGUGCAGAGUCUCAGAGGACCAUAGAAGCGGAGGCAGUAGGUCACACAUGUUGAGAACUGAAGUAGGUGCUACUUCACUUCCUCUACACCUUCAGAAUGUCACACCUGUUCCGGCUCACCUGGCCACCCUUCAGUCUGAAGAAUGACCCUAAACAACUCUUCCUUUGAGGCUCUUAUGCUUGUUGUGGUCACACUGAACUCGUUUCCCCAAGGUGCCUCUGGGAUCCUAGUGGGACGCCAACGUCCUCUCAAGCCAUUUCCUGGAUCCAGGGACUGAAUAGCAUUUGAAUAGUAAGUGAUGCAUUAGAUUCUCCUACAAGUCAGAAUAAUGGGUUGUUUUCUUAGUAGUCUUGUGAACACAGUGGUGGAUUCUUUCCAGAUUGGCUGAUGAUCAACCAGGGAAAUGCAUGAAAAGGCUGCAGUGUGCCCUUUGCUUUCUCUCCAGAUGCACAUUCCCCAGCUAACCGGGCCGG